UGAACGCUGGCGGCGUGCCUCAUACAUGCACGUCGAGCGAACGGACGAGAAGCUUGCUUUUCUGAUGUUAGCGGCGGACGGGUGAGUAACACGUGGAUAACCUACCUAUAAGACUGGGAUAACUUCGGGAAACCGGAGCUAAUACCGGAUAAUAUUUUGAGCCGCAUGGUUCAAAAGUGAAAGACGGUCUUGCUGUCACUUAUAGAUGGAUCCGCGCUGCAUUAGCUAGUUGGUAAGGUAACGGCUUACCAAGGCAACGAUGCAUAGCCGACCUGAGAGGGUGAUCGGCCACACUGGAACUGAGACACGGUCCAGACUCCUACGGGAGGCAGCAGUAGGGAAUCUUCCGCAAUGGGCGAAAGCCUGACGGAGCAACGCCGCGUGAGUGAUGAAGGUCUUCGGAUCGUAAAACUCUGUUAUUAGGGAAGAACAUAUGUGUAAGUAACUGUGCACAUCUUGACGGUACCUAAUCAGAAAGCCACGGCUAACUACGUG
rnacentral:rRNA from 1 species